rnacentral:rRNA from 1 species
AACCUAACAGCUAGCUACAACAAAAAUACAACAACCAAACAUCAAUACCCCCGAAUAUAGAUACCCCCCCCAACAAACCAUUUUUCCACCCUAGUAAGGGAGACAGAAAAGGACCUACCAAUUAAGCGAUAGAAAAAGUACCGCAAGGGAAAGCUGAAAGAGAAAUGAAACAACCCAGUAAAGAACACCAAAGCAGAGAUAAACCCUCGUACCUUUUGCAUCAUGAUUUAGCAAGUACAUCCAAGCAAAGAGCACUUUAGUUUGAACCCCCGAAACUAAGUGAGCUACUCCAAGACAGCCAAACAUGUGGGCAAACCCGUCUCUGUGGCAAAAGAGUGGGAAGAGCUUUGAGUAGAGGUGACAGACCUACCGAACUUAGUUAUAGCUGGUUGCCUGGGCCCCGAAUAGAAGUUCGACCUUUUAUACUUCUACCCUCCCCACGACUCAUCAACCACCGACACAAGAAUAUAAAAGAGCUAGUCAAAGAGGGUACAGCCCCUUUGAAAAAAGACACAACUUUACCAGGAGGAUAAAGAUCAUAAACCACAAGGAACCAGUGUUUUAGUGGGCCUAAAAGCAGCCACCUAAUAAGAAAGCGUUAAAGCUCAAACACAACAUACCCCCUUAAUACUGAAAAACAAUCCUACGCCCCCAUUACAACCAGGCCACCCCAUGCCACCAUGGGAGAGAUUAUGCUAAUAUGAGUAAUAAGAAAGGCCUCCUAAGCCUUUCUCCUAGCGCAAGUGUACAUCGGAACGAACCAACACCGAAAACUAACGACCCCAAUAAAAGAGGGAAUUGGACCACCAAUUAAAAUCACAAGAAAAAAGUCCUAAAACAACCGUUACCCCCACACUGGUGCACAUACAAGGAAAGACUAAAAGGAAAAGAAGGAACUCGGCA